GCGGUGGAUUAUGUGGAUUAAUUCGAUGCAACGCGAAAACCUUACCUACCCUUGACAUGCUAGGAACUUGCCAGAGAUGGCUUGGUGCCCGAAAGGGAACCUAGACACAGGUGCUGCAUGGCUGUCGUCAGCUCGUGUCGUGAGAUGUUGGGUUAAGUCCCGCAACGAGCGCAACCCUUGUCAUUAAUUGCCAUCAUUCAGUUGGGCACUUUAAUGAGACUGCCGGUGACAAACCGGAGGAAGGUGGGGAUGACGUCAAGUCCUCAUGGCCCUUAUGGGUAGGGCUUCACACGUAAUACAAUGGUCGGUACAGAGGGUUGCCAACCCGCGAGGGGGAGCCAAUCCCAGAAAACCGAUCGUAGUCCGGAUUGCAGUCUGCAACUCGACUGCAUGAAGUCGGAAUCGCUAGUAAUCGUGGAUCAGCAUGUCACGGUGAAUACGUUCCCGGGUCUU
rnacentral:rRNA from 1 species